GACGAACGCUGGCGGCGUGCUUGACACAUGCAAGUCGAACGGAAAGGCCUGCUUUCCCUUGUGGAUUGCGGGUACUCGAGUGGCGAACGGGUGAGUAACACGUGAGUGAUCUGCCCCCAACUUGGGUAUAAGCCUGGGAAACUGGGUCUAAUUCCCGAUAGGACUGCAGGGUGGUGCCUGUGGUGGAAAACGAUUUUCUAGUGGUUGGGGAUGAGCUCGCGGCCUAUCAGCUUGUUGGUGGGGUAAUGGCCUACCAAGGCGGCGACGGGUAGCCGGCCUGAGUGGGUGGACGGCCACAUUGGGACUGAGAUACGGCCCAGACUCCUACGGGAGGCAGCAGUGGGGAAUAUUGCACAAUGGGCGGAAGCCUGAUGCAGCGACGCCGCGUGGGGGAUGACGGCCUUCGGGUUGUAAACUCCUUUCGACCGCGAGGAAGCCACCUGGUUGGAAGGGUGGUGACGGUAGUGGUAGAAGAAGCACCGGCUAACUACGUG
rnacentral:rRNA from 1 species